GGAGCAUGUGGUUUAAUUCGAUGAUACGCGAGGAACCUUACCAGGGCUUAAAUGUAGUCUGACAGGGGUGGAAACACCCCCUUCUUCGGACAGACUGCAAGGUGCUGCAUGGUUGUCGUCAGCUCGUGCCGUGAGGUGUCAGGUUAAGUCCUAUAACGAGCGCAACCCCUGUCGUUAGUUGCCAGCAUGUAAAGAUGGGAACUCUAACGAGACUGCCGGUGCAAACCGUGAGGAAGGUGGGGAUGACGUCAAAUCAUCACGGCCCUUACGUCCUGGGCCACACACGUGCUACAAUGGCAGGUACAAUGGGCAGCCACUGCGCAAGCAGGAGCGAAUCCACAAAACCUGUCUCAGUUCGGAUCGGGGUCUGCAACUCGACCCCGUGAAGCUGGAAUCGCUAGUAAUCGGAUAUCAGCCAUGAUCCGGUGAAUACGUUCCCGGGCCUUG
rnacentral:rRNA from 1 species